rnacentral:lncRNA from 1 species
UUAGGCUUUUAGUCCUGAAACCAUUGUUUUCAAAUUUAUGUGGGGUGAUUAAAAGCCUUGGCAAAUUGACUUCACAGCCCAAUUUGUAAACAGAAUGUCAAUUUAUUAAAAGACAGAGGUGUCAAUGUGCUGCUUACUUAGAUGUGUGAUCUAUGUUAAACUCUACACUGUCCACCUCUUUCCAUUUGUACUGACCAUGGCUGUAAAGUAAUCCAGAAUCCAGCAGCCAAGAGCCCACAGAAGAGGGAGGUGUGGACAGCAGGGAGGCCAGGUUGGAAACUCAGCAACUGGGACUGGAGGUUGCCAGACUUACAAGUCCUCUCCAGUCAUCUCCAGGAUGAGAGGAAGGAAGGGCAGGGAGAAGACUCAUUGCCUCUGUGGACUGCACUCUCAAGAAAAAAAAUAGUGGGUACUUACCCAGUGGGCAAAGAUGCACAAGGACACAGUCUCUGUGGACCCUCCUUAGGACAGAGGAGAAUGGAGAAGGCUUCAGGGGUGAAUCUGAUGGAUUGUUUAUGUGUUCUGCCCAGGCCAGAAGAGGGUACCAGGUCGCAUUUCAGAUGGUUGUGAGUCACCAUGUGGUUGCUGGGAAUUGAACUCAGGACCUCUGGAAGAACAGCCAGUGCUCUUAACCUCUGAGCCACCUCUCCAGCCCAGAACUGCAGUUCUUAACCUGUGAGGGUUGUGUAUCAGAUAUGCUGCUUAUCAGGUGAAGGGACUGAGAAGUCCACCAUGAAGAUGCUGAUGUCUAGGGAGGUCUUCCUGCUGAGAAGUCCAACACGGAGAUGCUAAUGUGAAGAGAUGGCCUUCUUGCUGCACACACUAUACAAAGAGGCAUCACAUGGGGGAGGGGGAUGCCUGAGGGCAGCUCUCUGAGGCCACUAAUCUCAGACUGGUGGAUUUCUUUGAGUCCAUGGCCAGCCAUGAAUAUGGUCUCCAUGGUGAGUUUCAGACUAGCCAAGACUAC